CAAUAUGCAAAAAUGAUUUAUUAAUGAGAACCCUGCAUUUUUUUUUUAGUAUACACACAUAAAACAUUAUUGGAAAACCUGGAAAGAAAAGAGUUCAAAGGAAUCAAAUUUUGGUGUUAUAACAGAAUAUCGCCACAAACAAUCUACUUUAAAGCUAAGACUUCCUCUGGUUUUAUAUUUGAAUGCUGAGACUUUUUGUUGAUUUCAAUGUCACCCUCUAAAUCCUCUCUGCAAAAUUUUGGCCACAACAAACAAAAAGCAUCAGAAAAUAGAUCUAAUUUAGUUCGUCAACUAAGUGUUCUAUAUUAGAAACAUAACAAAUUAAAGUUUUCUGUCAUGCAUUUUGACAAACAGUUGAUAGACAAAACUAACGCCCACGUUAUCUGGAUCAUAAUUUAGGUUCCUCUAAAGUGAAGAAUCAUACCUUUUCGCCAACAAUUUCAUUUCUUUCCUUUUCUUUCGAUUCAAUCUCGCCUCUUUCGUUUUCUCUGUGGAUCUAGAUUAUUGAAUUUUUGGCUUUUGAUGGGAAGACGAAACAAAUAGAGGAUUUAGUUUGAUUUUUUAUGAAGUGAGAAUUAUAUUAGUUGCAGGAAGAAGAGAUCAUGGGCGAAGAGAUCGUGGAGCAGUUGAAGAAACUAUUUUUUUUUAUUCAUCUUUUUUUUUAUUGAUUUUUUUUUCUUCUCCAAUAAUUAGGUUUAUGUUUAAAAAAGUGAAAGACUAAAAUUUGAGACUUACGCCACGUGUCAAAU
rnacentral:lncRNA from 1 species